rnacentral:rRNA from 1 species
GUGCGGAAGGAUCAUUG